AUUGAACGCUGGCGGAAUGCUUUACACAUGCAAGUCGAACGACAGCACGGACUUCGGUCUGGUGGCGAGUGGCGAACGGGUGAGUAAUGUAUCUGAACGUGCCCAGUCGUGGGGGAUAACGUAGUGAAAAUUACGCUAAUACCGCAUACGAUCUAUGGAUGAAAGCGGGGGAUCGCAAGACCUCCCGGGAUUGGAGCGGCCGAUAUCAGAUUAGGUAGUUGGUGGGGUAAAGGCCCACCAAGCCAACGAUCUGUAGCUGGUCUGAGAGGACGACCAGCCACACUGGAACUGAGACACGGUCCAGACUCCUACGGGAGGCAGCAGUGGGGAAUUUUGGACAAUGGGCGAAAGCCUGAUCCAGCCAUUCCGCGUGCAGGAUGAAGGCCCUCGGGUUGUAAACUGCUUUUGUACAGAACGAAAAGGUUUCUACUAAUACUAGGAGCUCAUGACGGUACUGUAAGAAUAAGCACCGGCUAACUACGUGCCAGCCGCCGCGGUAA
rnacentral:rRNA from 1 species